CUGGCAAUUCUUUAAGCUGUUCACAACCGCCAAGACUUAAGAUUUCCAAUGAUCUCAGACUGCAUAUUGUGUCUGGAAGAGUUUCGAGGUUGCGGUUACCAUCUAAUCUCAGUUCAACAAGGUUACUUAGAUUUCCUAUCGAACCCGGUAACUCUGAAACACCUGUUUUCUCCAUACGUAGCACUCUUAGGGAUGUAAUAUCACCCAAAUCUUGGGGCAAUGCUUUCAGAUUUUUGCAUGCAGUAACAUCCAGAAGUUUUAAUGAUCUUAGCUUGCAAAUGUUGUCCGGAAGAGUUAUAAGUUCCGAGAAAUCUGCAUAUAACUCAACAAGGUUACCUAGCAAAUGGAUCGACUGUGGUAAGUUUUUAAGACCUGCACUACGUAAGUUGAGGCUUUCCAAAGAUUCAAUGUUCCCCAAAUUUUCAGGCAAUUUUUCCAACCUUCUACACUCCUGAAGAUUAAGAUGCUUCAGUGCUUUCAAGUUGCCAAUAGUUUCGGGAAGACUUGCUAGCGCCCAACAACCCCCUAAAUCUAGGGAAAGCAGCCCCGCCAACCUUCCAAUUGAUCUGUGUAUCUGCUUCAAGGUUACGCAACUUCCAAAACUUAAAUCUACCAAAGAUGGUAACAUGUUGAAAUCUGGAGUCGUCUCUAAAUAGUAAGAACGUUCCAUUUUCAGAAUCUUUAACUUCUGGAAAACCUGUAAAAGUCGAUGAAUGAAGGUUUCAACUCCAACCAAAAACAUGAAACUCGAGCGUGCUGAAUUGAUCUAGUAACCAUAUAAUUUACUUUUAAAUUAUUUUUUUCAAAAAAGAAUUUGGUAUGAAAAUUUUAUUUAUAAAAAGUUUUAAAAAGUAAGUUAAAGAAAUAGACUCUGUACAAAGUUAACUAACUCAUCUAAUUUAAUUUAAGAUGGAGGAAGCAGUUUUAAACUCUCCCUGAAAAUUAUAAUAUAUUAAUCUUAUUUCCAAAAGAAGACAAAACAUUAGCUUUCCAAAAUUGUAAUGCGAAGAAUUUUUAAUAAUAUUAAUAAUCAAUAAAUUUAUACUUUAUAAUUAUUUUUGUCACUCAAAAAAUAUUAUAAUAAAUUUGUAUGUCGAUAAAUUAUUAAUUUAUAAAGAAGGAUUACGUAACUUCAUUGUUCCGUACCAUCAUGACUUUAAUGUAUAACUUAUAUGAAAACUAAAAUAAAUAUCUUUGCAUCACAUACCAUAGGGAGCUCCAUAGUUAUCAAAUUGCUGUAUCUCAGUGUAAGUACUCCAAGAUUUAUGGGUUUGAAAUCAGGCGGAAAAUGUUGUAAAGGACACCACUGCCAAAAUAGCCACCUUAGAUCUCUGAAUGUUUUAUCAAAGCUUCCAGUUGGAUUUAGGAAACCCAUUAGAUGAAGAAAUCUUAAAUUUUUCAUCUUUUUGAAUGUUUCUGUUGUUAGUUGGAGUUCCUCUAAUAUCGCGUCUUCCUCGUAAAUACCUUCCUCUUGGUAGUAAAUACCUUCAACUGCCUCCAUUUCUGCACACUGUAUGUUAAUGUUGGAGAACAAAUGUUAAUAUAUUCCAUUUUGAAGUACAUGCCAUUUUUGUUUUUGAUACACAUUUCCAAGUGUUUUGACUUUAUUGUUAAAAUUAUUAUUUUGAAAAUUUUCUUUUUAAAUUUACAAUACUAAUCAUAUAUUUUCAUUCAAAAUAAAUUUAAAAAUAAUGAUUUUAACUAUUCCUUCAAAAGAAGAAUGUGACUGAUAUAUAAUUAAAUUUAUAAUACUAAGAAAGAGUAGGGUAAUGAACCACAUACAUGCAUACAUUAAAAUUACCAAAAUUACCUCGUUCUCCUCUGUCAACACACGCUUUAUAUCAAUAUUCUGCCAGAGCCUGCUAUGUUUUGCUGGAUUACUUGGAGACUUGUUUUGUGCAACUUUCCUUCCCAUCUCCCUGAGAAGAUCAUGCAUAUGCAACUCAUUAUUAUCAAUUGUUAGUAAACAUCUUCCCUUCAAAUUGUUGAUUUUCACAUUUACACAGGGAUAAUAAGUCUCCAAUAUUUCAAAGACCCUUUCUUUCUGCCACCCAAUGAAAAAACAAGCAAUGUCAAGGAACAUUUUCUUCAGCUGAGAGCCAUCAAUAGCAUUAUAGCUAAUUACAAGUCUAUCCUCAAUUUUUUUGUCUGGAGUUUCUUUCAGAUCCUCAAUGUAUUCUAUCCACUCGUCAGCCUCGUAUUUUGUACGCACAACCGAGCCAUAAAUCUGCAGAGCCAAUGGAAGCCCAUCAGCCAAUGCCAGUAUGUCGUUGGACAAUUUCUUUAGAGUGUCAGAAUCAAAUCGAAAUGGAAGACCAUGAUCAGCCAAAAUAUCGUUAGAAAAUUCCUUGAGAGUGUUGUCUGGCUCAGAACCAAAUCCAAAUGCAUGUUUUUGAAAUAGUUUGAGCGACUCUAUUCGACCCAACGUAUCUACCAUGUGUAGAUGUUCAGUUUUUACCCCAGAGUAUUCCAGGAUAUCUUUAUGCCUUGUAGUUAUGAUGACAACACUGUCAUGAACAAACGAAUUUACUCCCAAAGAUUCAAAUGGACCAGAGUCAGUUAAAUCAUCGAUAACAACUAGAAUCUUUUGGUCUUUUAAUCUAGUUUCUAUUAACCUUUUCCCAUCAACAACAUCAUUAACAUCCUUUUCAUUUUGAAGAAGAAUUUCAUUAAGAAGUUGCUGCUGUAAGCGCUUCAUGCCUUCAUCUGUGCCUGAAUUUGCGGUUACAUUUGCCAGGAAGCAACUGCCUUUGAAGCCGAGAUGUAUUUUAUCAAACACAGCUCGGGCAAGAGUUGUUUUGCCAACUCCACCCAUACCAUAUAUACCAACUUUCGUGGCACCACUGCUCAACAUUACUUCUAUCCUCUCAAUACUACAAUCCAAGCCUACAGUUGUCUCAUUAAAACUCUUGGGUUUUGUCCUCGGUAAUAUUUCAGCAACAAUUUUUUCGAUUGCAUCAGGUUCCUCUCUGCAAUGAAUUCUUUCUUAUAUCAAAUAGAAUAUGCUAAAUAUAUAAUCUGUAUUAUUAAUUAAUACUUUUUGCUGAAGUUGAACAAAAGCUAGAAGUUGAAUAUGUUUAUAACAACAAACAUGUAUUUGUCUUAUAAUGGAUGUUCAGAAAAUUCUUAUAUAUUAAAUAUUUUAUAAGAAUUAUUUAUAUUAUAAUUAGAAAUAGAGAAUAUAAAACCACUACUCUAAGUAAUGAAGAUAACUAGUGGACUAGUUAUAAAAUUAUAAUAGUCAUCCAGUAGAGACCACAAUUUUUUAAUCAAAUUAGAAAUUACCACAUAUUUUAAUCAGUUCAAAAAUAUUAGAAAUUAUUUUAAGAUCUACUUAUGUGACAACAAAACAUAUAUUUUUAUUUAUAAUAUAAUUGAUGAUAUGCAAUAAUAUACAUUAAAGACAGAGAUACAUGGUAAAAGAAAAUGGGGCGGGACUUGUUGAGUCAUGAGUGUGUAAAAGAAAAUUACUCCCCACUCUUAUACAUGUCCACCUUCAGAAUUAUGCAUAUUAUGGAGAUUUAAUUUUCAUAAAAAAAAAACCUUCAUUUGGAGUCAUAUUUACUACAUUGAUCAAGUAUAAUAUGUAAAAUACAGUUGAUUUUGAUAAUAUAAAUUAGAAAUAUUUGAUAUAAGUUGAUCUUGAAAAGAAAAAUAAUAAAUUACACAACAUUAAAUGUUGAAAUGGAAAAUUUGAAACAUUUUUCUCUUUUCGAAAUAGUGUAAAUGUAAAUUAAAACGGAGCUGGUACCUGUUUUUUUGGCAUAUGUGAUUUCCUGAAAUGUUAGCUGCUACUUUCAGUGCAUAGAGCCAGCUUGUCACUCUCUGCUCUUCAUUCUUGUAAUACCCUUUUGCAUGAAGUUGAAGAGCUUUAUCAUAUAUACUACUUUCUUCUUCUUUUUUAUCUAUACUAACACGUCGCACAAUAGAUGGAUCUAUAUGGUAAAACACAGGAAUAAUCAACCUCUCCUCUUUCUCGUGAAAACGGACAAUAUCUACCAGCUCAUCCAGGCACCAGGAAGAAGAAGCAUAUUCUUCGGAGAAGACAACAAUGUAAAUCUUGGAUGAUUUUAUUGCUUUUAGCAAUGCCUCUGGGAUAACUUCUCCCUGACGUAGCUUAUAAUCAUCCUUAUAUGUUUUAAUUCCAUGACGAUUUAGUGCAGCGUACAAAUGAGCCGUAAAUUUUGGCCCGGUUUCAGGACCGCGGUAACUCAAGAAAACGUCCCAAGUAAGAGCUGAAUAUGGAUCAGAAGAGGAUACUGGAGUUGGAGAACUUUGUGAAGCCAUUUUUUCAGACUGCAGAUCAAAGAUAUCAGAUGAGAAAAUUAGAAAUGAUUGUAAACAUUAUUAGGCGGUGAAGAUGAUUAGAUAGGCUAAAAGUUUUGAUAAACUAAUCGCUUGCAUAAAUCCAAAAAAGUCCACUAAUACUGACAAUCAGGACAGUUCAACAACUAUAUUAAUAUAUUAACAAUGAUCUAUUUAGGUGGCCUUUGGUUUGUCUGUAUGCCUCUGGGUUCUGUCAAUGGUUUAAUAUAUAGCUCUGUUUAGAGAGAGCUCAGAUGUUGCUUCUUCUAUGUUUGGAUUUUACAAACUAGAGGUUAAAAGGGAUAAUCCUGAAGUACUCCCUCUGUCCCAUUUAAUUGUAUACGUUUCUUUUCAACUGCUCGACACGCAUUUCAAUGCUCUUAUAAAAUAUAGUUCCGUAACUUAUUUUUGAGAUUUUCUUUUUCUGAAUAAAAAUAUAACAUCCAAACUUUAAUUCAGAAAAAGAAAAUUUUAAAAAUAAAUUACACAACUACACUUUACAGGAGCAUUAAAGUCCGUGCCGCGUCCCCGUCCCCCAAUGUAUACAACUCAGGGGGACGGAGGGAGUAUUAAUUUUGUCAAAGGCUACACUCAUUUUGAUUGAUUGAUCGAUUGGUUAGUUUUGAUAUCUUGUACUGAUAUUAUUAUGGGUAGUCAUGGACUCAUGGUUUCAGGAUCGAAGAGCCAAAAGCUUCAAAUCCAAAUUCCACGAAAGUACAUGCCUACGAAAAGCAUAAAGAAUUGAUAUCUGAUGUCACUCUUGAGAUUAUUUCUGAUAGGUAGUCGGUAAAUUUGUUAUCAGUACUGUCAUUUCAUGUACUCUGUCUUCUUCAAUGUAGUUCUCUCUUUGUUCAGCAAUCUCUAAUUCGAAUACAAUUUACAUAUACCAAAAUACCCCAAUAUAAAUUGUAGUCUCUCUCUCUCUCUCUCUCUCUUCUUCAAUGUAUCAAAUCCCCAAUUGGGCAGUUCCCCCAAUUUUUAUCAAACCCAAAUUGACACACAAACAACUAGUAACAUACACACAUAGUGACAUAGAUACACAAGUAGAUUCAAACAUAUAGCUACAAAGCCACAAACUCGAUUUAAAUAUAUAAACAUAUACCUCGAUUGUUUGAUUCGCUUAGAAGUUGAGAAUUGAGUGAUCGACUUGAGAGAAUGAGAGUUGACUCAGCUGAGAGUCUUGAUAGGUGAAUGUGAAUCGCUACUCAGUAGAGCUGAGAAUGAGAGUUGAAUCAGUAGAGUGAAUACAUAAUUAGUAGAGUGAUUAGGUUAGAGUUAUACGAGUCUCUUUCGGCGUGCGGGGCAGUAACAAAAACGCGUCCCUCCCACCAAACGGCCAUUAACAAAAACGGGUCCCUCCCGCCAAACCUUUGCAUUUGGGUUGUACGCUGCGGUGAAAAUCAAGUAAAAUAAGGAUACGGGCGUUUGUCUACCGCUUAAAAGUCGGCUUAUGAGUUUAUAAGUUUGAAACUCUUAUUUCAUACUGUUUGUGUAAAAAGUUAAAAAACACUUAUAAAAAGUCGGGAAUAAUAGUUUUUGUUUCAUGAUUUCUACUUCUUUCCCAGACACUUUAAUCAGUUAUAAGUUUUAACUUGUUUAUAAUUUUUACUUCAAUUUUUUACUUCAAAACUUGCUUAUAACUUUUAUUUCACUUUUUAACUUUAAAACUUGCUUAUAAUUUCUACUUCACUUUUUUUAUCUUAAGCAAGAAGCAUUUAUUUUAAACUCAAUUAAACGGCCCCAAUGACCAAGAAAUGUAAAGAUAGUUGUGAAAUCUAUUAAUAUUUCAUACAAUAUAUAAAUAAGUAUAUCGGUAUGGCGAAGAAAAAUAGUUGGCUUAGUUUAUUUUUAUAUUAUAAAUUUCAUUAUUUUUGACAAGUUUGGAAUAUAAAUGAUUUGAUUGGAUAUCUCAAAUAAUAAAAUUUAAAUAAAUGAUUGGUACAAAGAAGUAGUAUAUUUUAGCUAUUUGCAAGUAUUAAUGAUACAGGAGUUAAUAAAAAUUUACCAUGUAACCAAAAAUUGAUAGUCAGUGUUACUCUGGAUUCGAGAUUCGAGAAUGCAAAAUGUAAAAGCCAAAGACAGGAUUGCAAGACUGUGUGAAAAUGGAGAGAAACAUGAUUACAUGCAACGAAAUACACAAUUUAUAAAUGUUAUUCAUACAAUCACACAAAAUUUCAAUGAAUAUACAAACGAAGAACAUAAAAAGAAUGGAUGAUGUUGCUUACAGGAGUGAUAAGGGUUGUAAUAAGGAUGAUGAUGAUCAGGCUAUGUCAAAGAUAAUCAAAAGACCACCAGCAGAGUUCAGGAUUUGGUCAUGUAUCUCCUCGCUCGGGAUGUGAAAGUCCGAACAUGUUCCAAUAUCGCUAAUAAUGAUAGUCCCAUGCACAAAAAUCGUCGCUAAUCAAAAUUUUCCACGUAAGUAAAAAUUAGUUGUUGGGCUGACACUGAUAAUAAAACACACAAUGUCGUUAGAAAUAGGACUACUAAACUCCACUUAAUCAUACACAACAGAGCCAACAUUGUCAUUAAUUCAUCUUCAGGCUCUUCCUUCUUUGCUGCCUACUUCGCAGGAACCUGAUCACCAAAUGAAGCAACCGAAACCACAGAACAAGCAUGCUUGGACGGAUCCUAGAAAGCGAGAUCAGAGUUAGUAAUUAUUCCCAGCUAGGAAAAACAGAGCAAAAUAUUGACAAACCGCAAUAUGAAAGGUGAUAGAAUACUUUGAUGCAGUUUUGAGGAAGACAGGUCUAGUUCGUGUAAUUGCAUAGCCAUUCUGGCAAAAAGAGAGUCCGCGGAGCAAUACAUUGGAGACAUUUUAAAUAAGUAGUGUUCAUGUACUAGUACUUUCUAUUCGACUAUUACUGACCUUCAAAAACUCCUUAACUUUCUCAGCCUGCUUGUAGGUGUAGUCUGUUGCCAGAGACAAAGCCAAGACAUUUUUAUAGGCGUUGCUGAACAUGCACGGUGCUGCAGCGAUACUAGGGUAUGAAAUGGAAAGGGACAAAGAAGCAAGAUUUGAUAAUCCACUAGAAAAUUUCACUGCCAUAUUGUCUUCAGUGAGCUCAAGCAUCUCUUGACCGUGGACAGAGCCAUUGUCGUAUAAUGACUUCACUGUCAGAGCAGAGCCAUUUACAAGUUCAGUGAGGAUGAAUUCUCAGAAGUGCUAAAUGAAUUCUUAGAAGUGCUAAAUGAAGACUUACUUUUUUUCUCUCGACUCUUUUGCUUCCUUCCAUAAUGCACAUUAAGGGGGAUUGGGAACCUCUUAGCAAUGGCAUCUGCAAUGUAAAAAUUAAUUAUAGCAUAUGAUUUAUAUCAACCGAACAUAAAAAUUUCAGUGAAAACAUAUCCUUUUCCAGCUUCUUUCACAAAUAUAAUGUAAACCGUCAAGUUACAGGGCUCCACAUGAUAAACUCGCAUCUCUCUCCUGUUGCUCUUCAGAUACUUCUCUUUCCUCCCCGCAAAUUACUCAUUACUUAGUUUUAAGUGCUUGUUAGCAUAUUUUCACAUCCCAUCCCAUCUCCCCGUACUUCACUCUCGCAUUUUUCAAUUUACUUAAAGUCGAGUCGAACAAACUAAUACAUCUGACCUUUAUCAUCUAACAUCAGUGGCCUCCCUCCUCUCCUCCUCUCAUCUAGGGUUUGUGCAUUUUCAAGUAAAUCAAGGGGCUUCCACUGGUUUUCUCCGGUGGAAAGCCCCAACCCCUUCAUUUUUUCUUUAUUCUCGUUAAUUUCCUUUCAAUAAAACCCAAUCUUUUGGGUGUUUGUGUGUCUCUCCUCUUGGAGUGUGUGUCUUGUCUCUCCUUUUGGAGUGUUUUGUUAUGUUUUUGUCUGGUUGUGAUUGGGUUCAUUUGGUGUUGGAUCUAUUGAAAACGAGUUUAUUGAUAUUUUUGGUGAUCUGCAAAGACUGUAUUGAUUCUGAGACGGUGGUGAUUAUUGCAAGAGCUCACCUUUCACAAUCAAAGAUUGUUCAUUCUUCACGGGGUUACACUUUCGGCAUGUCUAUAGCUGGUAUCCGGCAUGUAGAUAGCUGGGGUGCCUUCGGCAUGUCUAUAGCUGGUGUCCGGCAUGUAGAUAGCUGUGGUGCCGUUUCUCCAAUCUCAAUUCAUACGAUUGUUGUUUUUGAACAUUGGGCUAACAAUGGGUUUUACGUGAUACGGUCAAUUGCGAUGGUACUAUUUCCAGAGAUGUUGGUGCAGUUUGGAUCAUUUGGGAUGUCUUUGAUUUCGUUUUUAGUUUCAAGAAUUUUUAAAUUCUAUGUGUUAAACGAUCAGGAAACAAAUCAUCUAAUUGUUUUUAGUAUGUUAUUUGUUUUACCACCUGGUUGUAUCGGCAGUUGGGGAUUUGUCCCGGCUGUAUUAUAUUCAAGUUAAUGAAAUCUUCUUGCAUUUGUCAAAAAAAAAAAAAAGUGCUUGUUAGCAUGAUCAUGAAUUUCAACAAAGUAAUUGGCAACUCUAAAGGUACUUGUGGCUAUACUUCAAUGAAAAACCAGAUAUCUAAAAUACCCUACAAGAAGUACAAUAAGUACUGUGACUACAACCCCUAUGUUAUGUAAAAUAUAAUAGGUUGAUUUAAGACCGUAAAACAAAUUUUAUAUUUCAAAUCUUUGUAAAAAAAAACAUGAAAUAGACUCUUAAAUCAUGUAAACAGGAGUCAAAAUGAUUUGAUGGACUUUAAUGUAAUAGCUUUGACAUUACAUAAACAAAAAUUCAGUAUCCAUAACUAAAUCUGAUACACAAAAAUUACCUGUUCCUUUCACAAACAUGCUCUCCGGAAACAUUAGUGGCUUCUUUCAGUGCAGCACGCCAGUUGUCCACUUGCUGCAUUUGAUCCUUGUAGUACCCUUCUUGAUGAACUUCAAAAGCUUUUUUUAAACCAUUGGUUACAUGACGCACAACAGAUGGAUCAAUUUUGUAGAACACAGGAAGAAUCAACCUGUGUUCUGUUUUUUUGAAUCUGACGAUAUCUACCAGCUCAUUAAGGCACCAGGGAGAAGAAGCAUAAUUUUUGGAGAAGACGACAAUGUAAAUCUUGGAUUGUUCUAUAGCCUCUCUCAAAUGCAUCUGAGAUAUCAUCUCCCAUCCGUAGCUUAUAAUCAUCUUUAAAUGUUUGAAUAUAAUGAUUAAUGAUGAUGUAGUGCAGCGUACAAAUGACCAGUAAAAUCAGGCCCUGUAUGCGGACCAGAAUAGCUUAAGAAAACGUCCCAGGUAAGACCUUAAUCCGGAGCAGACCUGGACACUGGAGUUGGAGAACCUAUGGAAGCCAUUGUAAGAAAAUAAGAAGGUGAAGAUCGGAGAUAUCAGGUAAGAAAAUAAGAAAGGAUUUUUUUAAAAAUACCCAAUUAUAAAGAUUAAAUUGGGUAAGAUACUCUACUUAUUUCUACAAAAAAGUAUAGGAUAAUUAUAUUAUAAUAUUUACUGCUGUUUUCUUGUGCUCAGUACACAAUGUCCUAACUUUUGACAUGCCAACAACCAACUCUGUAAAUGUUGAAAAUUUUAUGCUGGAACUGCAUAAAAUUUUAUGCUGGAACUGCGUAAAAUUUUAUGCUGGAACCAACUCUGUAAAUGACAGAAUGGAUAUCAUCGAGGGCUUUGGUACAAGUGGAAAGGUUAAUGAAGCAAUGAAAAUCUUUCAUUCAAUUGCAUUAUGCUUUCAUUGUUGAUCUCUUGGGUUGAUUUGGAAUGCUCAAAGAGGUAUUGACUAUUAUUCUUAAACUGGUCAGUUUUGCAUAUAGCAGACAACAGUGGGUACUGCUUUCAGCUUCUCGAGUUCAUAGAAUCCAUUUUUACUGUUCAGGAUGGUUAUGUUACAAGGCUGGCCACUCGCCAGGCUGUUUAUCUCUCCCCUUCUGCUCUUCUGGUACUUCACUUUCCUUCACGCAAAUUACUCAUAACUUCGUUUUAAGUGCUUGUUUGCAUGAUCAUGAAUCCCAACAAAGUAAUUUGUAGCUCUAAGGUACUUGUGGCCAUACUGAAACGAAAAACCAGAUAUCUAAAAUACCCUACGGGAAGUACCGUGAUUAGCACAAGUUAAUAUAGCCAUGACAAGCUCACGUCUUCAAACCUGACAUUCCCGCCGGCGAUGAUGACGAACCGGCCGACGACCGCCACGAUCGGAUCGUCACUAACGUAAAAUAAGAUUUUAACCUUAAAAAUCAGAUUACAUUCUUUUUUCUUGCUAUUUUUAUGUUUUUAAAUUAAUGAAAUUCAUAAGAAUAUUCAUAAAUUUUAUAUACUUUUAUGAAAUAAGUAUCCAAAAAAUUUCACCCCCUCAAUAUCCUCGGAAACCUGGCUCCAUCCCCGGUGGUCAUGGCCCCCUUUGACCUCUACUGUGCUACGCCUCUGAGAAUGUCACUCCAUAUUAAACCACUUGUGAUGCUGUGAAUCAAAUAAGUGGCUUCAAUUGAAAUGAUAGAUGUUGCUUUGUAUAAGCAGAGGAUCGUACCUCAGAAUUUGUUUGACGUAAACAAGCUUUUCUUCUUGAUUCAAAAUUAUAUAAUGUAGCUCAUCCAACUUGUCAAAUACAUUUCCAUCCCAAGAUGAAUUUUGAUAACAUUCUCGAAUCCAGAACAAGCCUGUUGGUAGAAUUUAUCAUAAAAAACAGUUAAAACAACAAAAAACAUAUUCAAGGUUACGCUGGCCAAAGAAAAAUAUUUAAGCUCCACUAUAUUUAAAAAUUAAAUGAACUAAAUCAACUGCUUUAACAGAAAUUGAUUUACAAAUUAAAUUCAAGGAUAAAUCAAGUAAUUGAUUUAGUGCACAAUGUACAGAGUGCAGAAGUCUUCUGCACUCUGUAAAUCAAUUGCUUUAACAGAAGUGCAUUAAUAUAAAUUUUGAAUCACUUCUAGACCACUAAAACUUGUAAGCUUCAGUAUCUCCAAUUGUUUAAGAGUCAUAGAUGGCCAACCAUAUGCACCUAGCCUUUUCAGAUUAGGAGGAAGUUCUUCAAUGGACAAGAGUUGCGUACAUCCGUCAACCUCAAGACGUUCCAGGUUUGUUAGCUGACUGAUACCGAGUGGCAGCGCGGUGAAAUCAUUACAAGAAAGAUCCAGCGUCUUUAAUGAUAUUGGAAUUUGGUUUGAUUCCAAUUUUAACAUUGUAGUACCGCAUAAAUCUAGCUCUCUUAAGCUUGUAAUCUUCCGCAUCUGACCUGGCAGUUCUUGAAGCUUUUCACAAAAGCGAAGAGUCAAGAUUUCCAGUGAUCUCAGAUUGCAUAUUGCGUCUGGAAGAAUUUCGAGGUUGGGGUUUGUAUUUAAUAUCAGUUCAACAAGGUUACCAAGAUUUCCUAUCGAACCCGGUAAAUCAGAAACACUUGUUUCCCUCAUACGUAGCACUCUCAGGGAUGUAAUAUCACCCAAAUCUUCAGGCAAUGCUUUCAGAUUGUUGCAUUCAGAAACAUCCAGAACUUUCAAUGAUCUUAGCUUGCAAAUGUUGUCCGGAAGAGUUAUAAGUUCUGAGUUACGUGAUGCCUUCAACUCAACAAGGUUACGGAGCAAAUGGAUCGAAUGUGGUAAGUUUUUAAGACCUGCAUUACGUAUGUAGAGGUUUUCCAAGGAUUCAAUGUUCACCAAUUCUUCAGGCAAUUUUUCCAAACUUGUACAGUCCCAAAGAAAAAGAUGCUUCAGUGCUUUCAGGUUGCCAAUAGUUUCGGGAAGACUUGCUAGCUUCGAGCAACUCCCUAAAUCUAGGGAAACAAGCCCUGCCAAACUUCCAAUUGAUCUGUGUAUCUGCUUCAAGUUUUUGCAAUUUGCAAAAUUUAAAUCUACCAAAGAUGGCAACAUGUUGAAAUCUGGAGUCGUCUCUAAAUAGUAAGAAUAUUUCAUAUUCAGAAUCUUUAACUUCUGGAAAACCUGUAAAGUCGAUGAAUGAAGGUUUCAACUGUAACCAUAAACAUGAAACUCGAGCGUGCUGAAUGGAUCAAGUAACCCAUAUAAUUUACUUUUAAAUUUUUUUACCAAAAAAAAUAAAAAAUUUGGUAUGAAAAUUUUGUUUAUAAAAAGCUUUAAAAAGUAAAUUAGAGAAUAGACGGUGUAGAAAGUUAACUAACUCAUCUAAUUUAAUUUUAAGAUGGAGGAAGCAUUUUUAAACUAUUCAUGAAAUUAUAAUUUAUAAAUUUUAUCUCCAAAGAAGACAAAACAUUAGCUUUCCAAAAUUGUAAUGCCAAGAAUUUUUAAUUUCCAGUCAAAUUUUAGUGAAAUGAAAAUUCAAUUUAUAUGAUUAAAUUUUUACUCUUUCAAUACCCUUAAUAAAAAUUUUGUUAACCGAAAUGAGAAAUAUAUUUGUAAUUUAUAUUUUAUAUUAUUGUUGUUAUUAUCAGAUUAUUUUAGAUAAUCUAAUGUCGUACCGAAAAUCAUCUAGUUUUUGUCAUUUACUCAUUAAUGUAUAGAAUAUUAGUUAAAAUUUAACAAAAUCAUAUAGAGUUUAUAAUAAGAUAUUAAUUUAUAAUAUUAAAACUUUAAGUAGAUCCACCGUUGAGUUUUCUUCUUAUUAUUAUUUAUGGCGGAACACUAUCUAAACUGUUAUAUCUAAUCUCCUUUGAUAUGCAUAAUAUUAGUUUUUAAAACGAUAAAAAAGAAGUUUUAAUCAUCAAUUAGAAUUUAUUUUAUUUGUUAAGAAAAGAUUGCAUGACACAAUAAAUUUAAGACACAAGAGUAAAAGUUAGUAAAAUGCAAUCUCCAAUUUAAUAUAAACUAAUGUUAUCAAAGAAAUGAGGAUUUUUUGGGUUCCAGAAAUGCUAUUAAGGAGGACUACUACUUAAUCCCAACUGUAUAAAAUGAUUUACAAUAAAAACUUGAUAUAUUAAUAAUUAAUAAAUUAAUAAGUUGCAAUUAUUUUUGCCAGUCAAAAAAUAUUAUAAUAAAUUUGUAUUUAUAUAAAUUAUUAAUCUAUAAAUAUUUUAGUGUAUAACACUCGAAGAUUAUAUGAAAACUAAAAUAAAUAUCAUUGCAUCACGUACCAUAGGGAGCUUCAUAGUUAUCAACAUGUUGUGUGUCAGUUCAAGUAUUCCAAGAUUUGUGGGUUUGAAAUCAUGCGGAAAAUGUCGUAAAGGACACAGCUCCCAAGAUAGCCACCUUAGAUCUUUAAUUGUCUUGUCAAAGCUGACGGUUGGAUUUUUGGAACCAGAUAGAUGAAGAAAUCUUAUAUUUUUCAUCUUUUUGAAUGUUUCCGUUGUUAGUUGGAUUCCUUUGUGGCAAACCCGAUCAUCAUAAAUACCUUCAAGUGCCUCCAUUUCUACACACUAUGUUAAUGUCGGGAAAACAAAUGUUAAUAUAAUCCAUUUUCAAAUAUAUGCGAUUUUUAUUUUUGACACACAUGUCUAUGUGUUUUGAUGUAUUGUUAAAAUUAUUAAUUUUAAAUUUUCUUUUUUUCCAAAAUUAUAAUAUUAAUUAUAUAUUUUCAUUUAAAAAAGAAAAUUUUAAAAAUAAUAAUUUUAACUAUACCUGUAAAAGAACUAUGUGACUUAUAUAUAAUUAAAUCUAAAAUACUAAGAAAGAGUAGGGUAAUGAACCACAUGCAUGCAUAUAUUAAAAUUACCUCGGUCAACACGCGCUCUAUAUCUCUAUCCCGCCAGAGCCUGCUAUGUUUUGCUGGAUUACCUGGAGACUUGUUCUGUGCAACUUUCCUUCCCAUCUCCCUAAGAAGAUCAUGCAUAUGCAACACAUUUUUAUCAUCAAUUGUUAGUAAACAUCUUCCUUUCAAAUUGUUGAUUUUCACAUAUACCCUGGGAUAAUAAGUCUCCAAUAUUUCAAAGACCCUUUCUAUCUGCCACCCAAUGAAAAAACAAGCAAUGUCAAGGAACAUUUUCUUCAACUGAGUGCCAUCAAUAGCAUCAUAGCUAAUUACAAGUCUAUCCUGAAUUUCUUCAUUGGGAGUUUCUUUCAGAUCUUCAAUGUAUUCUAUCCACUCGUCAGCCUCGUAUUUUGUACGCACAACCGAGCCAUAAAUCUGCAGAGCCAAUGGAAGCCCGUCAGCUAGUGACAGGAUGUCGUUGGACAAUUUCUUUAGAGUGUCAGAAUCAAAUUGAAAUGGAAGACCAUCAUCGAAAAUGUCGUUAGACAAUUCCAUAAGAGUGUCGUCUGGCUCAGAACGAAAUCCAAAUGCAUGUUGUUGAAAAAGUUUGAGCGACUCAAUUGGAUCCAACUUAUUUACCAUGUGUUGAUGUUCAGGUUUUACCUCAAAAUAUUUCAGUAUAUCUUUCUGCCUUGUAGUUAUGAUGACAACACUCCCAUGAGCAAACGACUUUACUCCCAAAAAUUUAAGCGGAUCAGAGUGGUUUAAAUCAUCGAUAACAACUAGAAUCUUUAGGUCUUUUAAUCUAGUUUCUAUUAACUUUUUUCCAUCGGCAACAUCAUUAACAUCCUUUUCAUUUUGAACAAGAACAUCAUUAAGAAGUUGCUGCUGUAAACACUUCUUGCCUUCAUUUGUCCUUGAAUUUUCCAUUACAUCCGCCAGGAAGCAACUGCCUUUGAAACCUAGGUGUAUUUUAUCAAACACAGCUUUGGCAAGAGUUGUUUUGCCAACUCCACCAAUACCAUAUAUACCAAUUUUAGUGGCACCACUGUUCAACAAUUCUUCUAUGCUCUUAAUACUACCAUCCAAGCCUACAGUUUCCUCAUUAAAACUCUUGGGUUUUGUCCUUGGUAAUAUUUCAGCAACAAUUUUUUCGAUAACAUCAGGUUCCUCUCUGCAAUGAAUUCUUUCUUAUAUCAAAUGGAAUCUCCUAAAUAAAUAUUUUUUUUAUUAUUAAUUAAUACUAUUUGCUGAAGUUGAUGAAAAUCUAGAACUUGGACAUGUUUAUAACAAAAUAAAAUAAAAUCUGAACUAUGGGGCCGUUUGGGCAAGCUUAAAAGAAGUGACUUCUUAAUUAAACUAGAGAAGUGGAGCAGAAGUGAGAAGUAAAUAAGUUAAUAAAGUGUUUGGAAAAGAAGCAGAAGCUGUGAGAAAGAAGCUAGCAUUCUCAGCUUCUUAAAAGUGCUUCUACUUUUUUACACAAACGGGUCAAGAGAAGCAGAAGCCAAAAGCAGCUUCUGCUUCCCUUAAACAAACAGCCCCUAUAUUUGUCGUAUAAAGGAUGUUCACAAAAUAUUUAUAUAUAGUUAAAUAUUUAUAAGAAUUAUUUAUAUUACAAUUAAUAAUACAGAAUAUAAAAUCAUUAGUCUCAGUAAUGAAGAUAAAUAGUGUACUAAUUACAGAAUUUUAAUAGUAAUCCGGUAGAGACAACUAUUUUUAAAUCAAUUUAAAGAUUAUUAGAAAUUAUUUUGAGAUGAUCUCUUGUGAAAACAAAACUUAAGUUUUUAUCUAUAAUAUAAUUGAUGAUGUACAAUAAUAUACAUUACAGACAAAGAUACAGGGUAAAAGAAAAUGGGACCGAACUUGUUUCUUAUAAAAACUUUCAUUUGGAGUCAUAUUUACUACAUUGAUCAAGUAUAAUAUGGGGAAAAAUAGUUGAUUCUUGAAAAUUUAAACUAGAAAUAUUUGGUAUAAAGUUGAUCUUGAAACAUUUUUCUCUAAAUGUAAAUUAAAACAGAGCUGGUACCUGUUUUUUUCGCAUAUAUGAUUUCCUGAAACGUUAGCUGCUGCAUUCAGUGCAUCGAGCCAGCUUUUCACUCUCUGCUCUUCAUUCUUGUAAUACCCUUCAGCAUGACAUUGAAGAGCUUUAUCAUAUAUACUCCUUUUUUUUCUUCUUUUCCUAAACCAACAUGUCGCACAAUAGAUGGAUCAAUAUGGUAAAACACAGGAAUAAUCAACCUCUCCUCUUUUUCAUGAAAACUGACAAUAUCUACCAGCUCGUCCAGGCACCAGGGAGAAGAAGCAUAAUCUUCGGAGAAGACAACAAUGUAAAUCUUGGAUGCUUUUAUUGCUUUUCUCAAUGCCUCUGGGAUAACUUCUCCCUGGCGUAGCUUAUAAUCAUCCUUAUAUGUUUUAAUUCGGUGACGAUCUAGUGCAGCGUAUAAAUGAGCCGUAAAUUUUGGCCCGGUUUCAGGACCGCGGUAGCUCAAGAAAACGUCCCAAGUAAGAGCUGAAUUCAGAGCAGAAGAGGAUACUGGAGUUGGAGAACUUUGUGAAGCCAUUUUUUCAGACUGCAGAUCGAAGAUAUCAGAUUAGAAAAUUAAAAAUGAUUGUAAACAUUAUUAGGGAGGAAGAUGGUUAGAUACUUAGAUAGGCUUAAAGUUUUAAUAAACUAAUCGCUUGAAUGGAUCCAAAAAAGUCCACUAAUACUGACAAUCUGGACAGUUCAACAACUCUAUUAAUAUAUUAACAAUGAUUUAUCUAGGUGGGCUUUGGUAUGUUUGUAUGCUCUGGGUUCUGUCAAUCGUUUAAUAUAUAGCUCUGUUUAGAGAGAGCUCAGAUGUUGCUUAUUCUAUGUUUGGAUUUUACAAACUAGAGAUUAAAAGGGAUACAAGAGAACAUAAAAUAGCAUUAAUUUUGUUCUGGAUAAUCCUGAAGUAUUAAUUUUGUCAAAGGCUACACUCGUUUUGAUUGAUUGAUCGAUUGGUUAGUUUUGAUAUUUUGUACUGAUAUUAUUAUGGGUAGUCAUGGACUCAUGGUUUCAGGAUCGAAGAGCCAAAAGCUUCAAAUCCAAAUUCCACGAAAGUACAUGCCUACGAAAAGCAUAAAAAAUUGAUAUAUGAUGUCACUCUUGAGAUUAUUUCUGAUAGGUUCGGUAAAUUUGUUAUCAGUACUGUCAUUUCGUGUACUCUGUCUUCUUCAAUUUAGUUCUCUCUUUGUUCAGCGAUCUCUAAUUCGAAUACAAUUUAUAUAUACCAACUAUGUUACCCGGACUCUUCAUUUUGUAUCGAGUACCCGUGUCGGACAUGGGUAUGGAGUCUAUGGACACUCCGACACUUAUUUUAAGCCAUAAACAUGUAAGAUUUUCAAAUUAUUGCCGAGUCUGACACUCCGACAUGUAUCCAUGUUGGACACUUUUACCCGAGUCCGGGUAACUUAGUAUACCAAAAUACCCCCAAUAUCAAUUGUAGUCUCUCUCUCUCUCUCUUCUUCAAUGUAUCGAAUCCCCAAUUGGCCAGUUCCCCCAAUUUUUAUCAAACCAAAAUUGACACACAAACAACUAGUUACAUAGAUAUACACAGUGACAUAGAUACACGCAUAGAUACAAACAUAUAGCUACAAACACACAGUCGAUACAAAACUGAAUGGAGUUUUGUUUACCUCGAACGUUUGAUUCGCUUAGGAGUUGAGAAUGGAGUGAUCGGCUGAUGGAGCUAAGAGAAUGAGAGUUGACUCAGCUGAGAGUCUUCAUAGUUGAAUGUGAAUCACUGCUUAGAGCAUCAAAUUUGCUCAACCUGGAAUACAUUUUGCUUCAAUGGUAGUAUGUUAUUAAUAUUUUAAAUUAUUAAAAUAGAAUAUAUCAUCUGUAGAGGUUCGACAAAUUUAGUCAUCCAUAGGAGGUUGGCUAAAUUUAUAGACAAUAACUGAGUAUGGUUGGAGCUAUUAAGUAUGUUAACUCAACUUUUAGCAGGGUUAUUGAUGGUUGGAGAUGCUCUUAGUGUCUCUCGGCGUGCGGGUCAGUAAAAAAAACGCGUCCCUCCCGAGUAAAAUAAGAAUGAUAAAGUAAGAAAUGUAAAGAUAGUACUAAUAAUAUUUUAUACGAUAUAUAAAUAAGUAUAGUGACACGGUUGUUUAAAAAAAAGUAUAAUGGUACGAUGAAAGAAAACAACGGGUUAGUUGAUUUUUAUAUUAUAAAGUUUUAUUAUUUUUGAAAAGUUUUGAAAUGUAAAUGAUUUGAUGGGACAUUUCAAAUAAUAAAAUGUAAAUAAAUGAUCGGUAGAAAAAAGUAUAUUACUUUUGACUGGGAUAAAUUUUUAUGUAUGCUUGGAUCCGUCAUUAUUAAUGAUAUUGGAGUUAAUAAAAUUCACAUCUAAUCAGACAUUGAUUGUUUUUACGUGAUAAAUCAUAAAACAACAGACUUAUAUAGAUUCGAGAAUGCAAAAUGUAAAAGCCAAAAACAGGAUUGCAAGACUGUGUGAAUAUGAAGAGAAACAUGAAUACAUGCAACGAAAUACACAAUUUAAUAAAUUUAUUCAUCUUUUUUCAAGCUAGUUGAGGGGCUUCCAUCGGUUCCGGUGGAAAGCCCCAAUCCCUUUAUUUUCUUUCAUCUUCGUUGAUUUUUCUUUCAAUAAAACCAUACUUUUUGGGUGUUUGUGUGUCUCUCCUCUUGGAGUGUGUUUGGUUUGUCUCUCCUUUUGGAGUGUUUGUUAUGUUUAUGUUUAGUUAUGUUUGGAUUCGUCCGAUGUUGGAUUUAUGGAGAAUGAUUUUAUUGAUGUUUUUUGGGAUCUGAAAAGCCCGCGUCAAAUAUUAGCCGGCGGUAAAUAUGGCAAGAGCUCACCUUUCACAACCACUGAUUGUUCGUCUGUUUGGGGUUUAUACUUUCGGCAUGUCUAUAGUUGGUAUCUGGCAUGUAAAUAGCUGGGGUGCUACUUGUUGCUGCUUUCUUUCUGUGAUGUUGGUGCAAUUUGGAUCGUUUGGAGGAUCUUUGAUUUCAUUUUUAGCUUUAAGAAUUUUUAAAUUCUAUGUGUCAAACGAUCAGGAAACAAAUCAGCUAAUUCUUUUUAGCAUGAUAUUUGUUUUCCAACCUGGUUGUGUGGUCAGUUGGGGGUUUGUCCCGAUUGUAUUAUGUUCUGAUUAAUGAAAUUGUUUUUCUUUGUGUCAAAAAAAAUAAAAUUAUUCAUGCAAUGACACAACGUUUCAAUGAAUAUACAGACAAAGAACAGAAGAAGUAUAGAUGAUGUUGCUUUCAGGAGUGAUAAAGGUUGUAAUAAGGACGAUGAAUUUCCACAUAAGUAAAAAUUAGUUGUUGGGCGGACACCGAUAAUAAAACACACAAUGUCGUUAGAAAUAGGACUACUAAACUCCACUUAAUCAUAGAUACCACACCAUCUUGUUAAGUUAAUUACUGGUAUAAAAAUCACCAUCUUGUAAAUGAUUUAAUAAGACAUUUCAAAUAAUAAAAUGAAAAUAAAUGAUUGGUACACAGGUGUAUAUUUCGUUUGAUUGGGAUAAAUUUUUAUGUAUGUUUGGAUCCGUCAUGAUUAAUGAUAUUGGAGUUAAUAAAAUUCAUCAUCUAACCAAAAAUUGAUUUUUUUCCAUGAUAAAUCAUAAAAAAAAUACUUACUAUACAUUCGAGAAUGCAAAAUGUAAAAGCUAAAAACAGGAUUGCAAGACUGUGUGAAUAUGAAGAGAAACAUGAAUACAUGCGACGAAAUACACAAUUUAAUAAAUUUAUUCAUGCAAUCACACAACGUUUCAAUGAAUAUACAAACAAAGAACAGAAGAAGAAUAUAUGAUGUUGCUUUCAGGAGUGAUAAAGGUUGUAAUAAGGACGAUGAAUUUUCCACAUAAGUAAAAAUUAGUUGUUGGGCGGACACUGAUAAUAAAACACACAAUGUCGUUGGAAAUAGGACUACUAAACUCCACUUAAUCAUACACAACAGAGACAACAUUGUCAUUAAUUCAUCUUCAGGCUCUUCCUUCUUUGCUGCCUACUUCGCAAGAGGCUGAUCACCAAAUGAAGAAACCGAAACCACAGAGCAAGCAUACUGAGACGGAUCCUAGAAAGCGAGAUCACAGUUAAUAAUUAUUCCCAGCUAGGAUAAACAGAGCAAAAUAUUGACAAACCGCAAUAUUAAAGGUUGUAGAAUAUCUUGAUGCAGUUUCAAGGAAGACAGGUCUAAUUUGUGUAAUUGCAUAGCCAUUCUGGCAAAAAGAGUCCGCGGAGCAAUAUAUUGGAGACAUUUUAAAUGAGUAGUGUUCAUGUUAUUACUGACCUUCAAAAACUCCUUAACUUUCUCAGCCUGCUUGUAGGUGUAGUCUGUUGCCAGAGACAAAGCCAGGACAUUUUUAUAGGCGUUGUUGAACAUGCACGGUGCUGCAGCAAUACUCGGGUAUGAAAUGGAAAGGGAGAAAGAAGCAAGAUUUGAUAAUCCACUCGCAAAUUUCACUGCAAUAUCGUCUUCAGUGAGCUCAAGCAUCUCUGGACCGUGGACAGAGCCAUUGUCGUCUAACGACUUCACUGUCAGAGCCAUUACAAGGUCAGUGAGAAUGAAUUGUCAGAAGUGCUAAAUGAAUUCUUAGAAGUGCUAAAUGAAGACUUACUUUUUUUCUUUGUACUCUUCUGCUUCUUUCCAUAAUGCACAUUAACAGGGAUUGGGAACGUCUUGGCAAUAGCAUUCGGCAAUGUAAACACGAUGAUGGCUCUCCACACAAUCAGAAUUUAUGAUGCAAAGAAAGUCCGGAUAAUCUUCAGGAGAUCUAUAUCGCGUGACCUCCAGAGACUUUAAGUCAUACAAAAAGAAAUUGGUUACCUGCUCUCGGUAUUCCAGAAAGACAGUCGUCCGUACCAAAUAUUUACCAUUAUUCAAGAAACCUACAGGAAUUGAAAAACCAACUUCCUGCAAUUUUAUGACAAGCCUCUUCUCCCAGCGCAAUUCAGAUGAGAACUCGUCUUUAACUAAAUUCCACAUGUCAAGAAAUCCAGAACCAUCUUCACAUCCGAGAACAGCUACUGAUUCUCCAAAUGCUUCCAUAGCAAAUUGAGUACGAUACCUAAUGAAUUCUUCCGGACACCUGAACUGCUGAAUAGUCUCAUUAUUGACAUCAAAACAGACUGCCAGUGGCGCGAUUGAUUGAGGUCCGUACCUACACGUAUCUGUUAUCAUAUAUGCAAUACCAUCUACAAACUUGGUAGGUUCAGGCACAACACAAAAAUCAACAAUUUCAUCUUCAUAGUGAGAAUUAGUAUGAAUGAUGUUCCAAGAAUUAGUACUCAAGCUGUAAACAAAAACGUCGAAAAUAAUACCAAUUGUCGAAACGACUAUCACCUUAUAGUCAUGAUCAUAAUGUCCAAAGCUCACACCACCCGUCCUCAUUAGCCAAUCGUACUCGGCCCUAAACAGAAAUGCAUUAAUCUCCAAGCACUUCUAGACCACUAAAACUUGUAAGCUUCAGUAUCUCCAAUUGUUUAAGAGUCUUUUAGAUGGACAACGAUAUGCAUAUAGCGUUUCCAGAUUAGGAGGAAGUUCUUCAAUGGACAGGAGUUGACUACAUCCGUCAACCUCAAGACAUUCCAGGUUUGUUAGCCGACUGAUACUGAGUGGCAGCGCGGUGAAAGCAUUUUUAGAAAGAUCCAGCGUCUUUAAUGAUAUUGAAAUUUGGGUUGAUUCCACUUUUAACAUUGUAGUCUCGCUUAAAUUUAGCUCUCUUAAGCUUGUAAUCUUCCACAUCUGGCCUGGCAAUUCUUUAAGCUGUUCACAACCGCCAAGACUUAAGAUUUCCAAUGAUAUCAGAUUGCAUAUUGUGUCUGGAAGAGUUUCGAGGUUGGGGUUACCAUCUAAUAACAGUUCAACAAGGUAAAAUCUAAACAAGCUAUCAAUAAAGAUGCAAAUGUUAUAUGAAGUAACAUAAUAUGAAAUCUGAGAUCAUUGGAAAUCUUAAGUCUUGGCGCUAUAUUUAAAAAUUAUAUGAAGUAAAAUAACUUUUCAUGUAUAAUUUAACUUAAGAUCUAAUCCUAAUCUAACAGAAAUGCAUGAAUCUAAACCUCGAAUCUCUUCUAGAUCACUACAACUUGUAAGAUUCAGUAUCCCCAAUUGUUUCGAAGUGGCUCGGAAAUUUUACAUAGAUGAAAAAAUAUGUGCAUACGGCUCUUUCAGAUUUGGAGGAAGUUCAGACAAGAGUUCACUAUAUUCUUAAGAAAUUCCACUGAUAAUAAGUGGCAGCACAGUUAAAACAUUGUAAGAAAGAUCCACCGUCUUUGAUGAUAAUGAAAUUGGCUUGAUUUCACUUUAAGCUUCGACAAUUUAGGAUUAUAAAAAUUUUAAAUGAUCUCAGAUUGUAUGUAGUGUCCGAAAGAGUUUCAAGAUUGGUGUCAUCACUUAAUAUCAGCAUUUCAAGAUUUCAAAUUUUAUCGAAAUGAUAGAUGUUGAUUUGUAUAAGCAGAGGACUGAACCCAAAAAAUUGUAAAUCAAUUGCUUUACAAUUGAUUUAGUGCACAAGUCUUCUGCACUGUAAAUCAAUUGCUUUAACAGAAGUGCAGUAAUCUAAACAAUCACUUCUAGACCACUAAAAGUUUUAAGCUUCAGUAGCUCCAAUUGUUCAAGAGUCAUAGAUGGACAACCACUUGCAUAUAGCCUUUUCAGAUUAGGAGGAAGCUCUUCAAUGGACAAGAGUUGACUACAUCCUUCAACCUGAAGACAUUCCAGGUUCGUUAGCCGACUGAUACCGAGUGGCAGCGUGGUGAAAGCUUUAUAAGAAAGAUCCAGCUUCUUUAAUGAUAUUGGAAUUUGGUUUGCCUCCACUUUCAACAUUGUAGUAUUUCUUAUACAUAACUCUCUUAAGCUUGUAAUCUUCCACAUCUGACCUGGCAAUUCUUUAAGCUUUUCACAACUGCCAAUAGUUAAGAUUUCCAGUGAUCUCAGAUUGCAUAUUGUGUCUGCAAGAGUUUCGAGGUUGGGGUUCCUACCUAAUAUCAGUUCAACAAGGUUACUAAGAUUUCCUAUCGAACCCGGUAAAUCAGAAACACUUGUUUCCUUCAUACGUAGCACUCUUAGGGAUGUAAUAUCACCCAAAUCUUC
rnacentral:lncRNA from 1 species